CUCGCAGCGGCCGGGGCGGGGAGCGGUCGGCGUCGGUCCCUCCUCCCGCCCGCGCUCACUACCGCCGCCGCCCGCGCUCGUUGCCGCGCCGCCGCCGAUGUCCGGACCGCUCCUGCGUUUGGAAAUUGAUUAAAGAGUCUCCAUUGGAUUUAACAUGGCAUCAAAUCAGUCAUCUCCCUCAACAGAGGAGCAGGCUUCCUCUGAAAUAGAUGACCUCUUUCUAUCACUGCAAGUGCAACGAGAGUGUACUCAGAAGAAGACAUUUACAACCUGGAUAAAUUCAAUAUUGGCAAAGCAUACACCUCCUUCUGUUAUCUCAGACUUAUAUACAGACAUUCAGCAAGGACAUGUGCUUUUGGAUCUGUUGGAAGUGCUUUCAGGUCAACAUCUGCCACGGGAAAAAGGAUUUAAUACCUUUCAGUGCAGAAGCAACAUAGAAAAUGCUUUGACGUUUUUAAGGAGCAAAUCACUCAAGCUUAUAAAUAUUCAUGUUGCUGACAUUAUUGAAGGAAAACCUUCCAUUGUGCUUGGCCUAAUUUGGACAAUUAUAUUUCAUUUUCAUAUUGAAGAACUUGCCAGGACACUUGCUUGCACUUACAAUCAGCCUUCUCUUGAUUGUCCAAGUACUGUUGACUCCUCCCCAAAGGCAAGGCGAUCAGCUAAAAAGAGUGCUAAAAUUAAGGAGCGGUGGAAGAUAUCUGCUACAAAGGCUCUUCUGUUUUGGGCAAAAGAACAGUGUUCACUAUAUGGUUCAAUCAGUGUGAAUGAUUUCAAGUCAAGCUGGAGAAGUGGACUGCCUUUUUUAGCUAUCAUCAAUGCCUUAAGACCAGGUCUAAUUGAUUUGGAGAAGGCAAAGGCUAGAAGCAAUAAGGAAAACCUAGAUGAGGCUUUCAGAAUUGCAGAAUUGGAGCUCAAUAUUCCACGGCUUCUUGAACCAGAAGAUGUUGAUGUUAUGAAUCCAGAUGAAAAAUCAAUCAUGACUUAUGUGGCUCAGUUUUUACAAUACUCCAGGAAUAUGCCCGAGACUGAAGACAUGCAGGAUAAAGUAACAGAGACCUUGAGCUGGUUGGCUGUGCAGAGAAAAAAGUUAGCAAAUUUGCUGAAGGACACAGAGAAUGAAACUUAUUACCAGAAGUACAAAGAAAUGAUGUCAUUUAUGGAAGCAUUUAACCAAGAAAAAAAAGCAUUUCUGCCCCUGUUAUCAUCAAAAAGAACUGGAGCUGAGCUGAGCGAAGGCCAGCAGCAGAUGAGGGAAGAAUGGAGUAAACUCGUCUCUCAGAUUAAUGAAUGGAAAGCAGAGCUGGACCAGAUGUUGCCUCCACCUCUGGAUGGCAUUGAGGCCUGGCUUCAGAAGGUGGAACAUCUGCAGGCAGAAGAUUUGCCUGAUUUGCAGGACCCAUUUAAAGCCAUGUCUCUCUUCAGUGAAAUCAUUUCAGUGUUUAAGGGCUUGAUGAAUUGUUUUGAUUCUCACUUGGACACUCUUCAAUCAUUUGAGAAUAAAGAUGAGAAGAAUAUGCCACUAGUAGUGCCUGAAAAGCUAGAGGAAAUGAAAAGAAGAUUCAAUGAUAUUCGUUUCACAAACUCCAGCUCCCUUCUUGAAUACCACUAUGGACUGUGCUCAGCAUUUGCCAAUGAGGUGACACUGAAGCUAAAUAUUUGGGAUGUGAAAUAUGGGACGAAAGAAUCUGUGGAAUCACUGCUAGAAAAUUGGAAUAAUUUCGUUGAAGAAAAGAGACUUAACACACAGCUGGAAACUGCUGCUGACAUCUGUGAAGACUUGAAAAACAAAAACUUAAGCAACCUUGACUUAGCUGGAGAUCCUCAAGAAAUUAGCAAACUUUUUAAGACAGUGGAGUCAAAGAUUUCUAUGUGCAAAGACUAUAUUUCCAAUGUAAACACUACACUACAGAAAGUCCUGUCUUCCUGGAGUAGUUACACAGAAAACCUCUGCUUACUAAAGACAUGGCUGGAAGAAAAACAAAAUGAGUAUCCAGUAGAGGUCCCUGUGGAAGUGCUGGCAAACUGGAAUUCAGUGCAUGGUUCAUUAAAUGAAGCUGGAAACUAUCUCAUUGAAGUCAGCAAAGAGCAAGUUGGGUCGAAUAUUGCCAAAGAGCUGAAAAAACUGAAUAGGAAAUGGGCUAAAUUCAUCAAGAAGACACGCUUUCUUGGUGAAGAGAACACAGAUGCUGCUGAAAAGGCCAGGGAGCUUCCAGGAGGCAUGGAGAAAAUUGAAGAGCUUCUUGGAGGUGUAGAGAGCUGGGCCACAGAGACUGAAUGCCUGCUCAGUGAGAUUGGUCACAAGACACCUGUGGAACCUCAGAUAGAGGAAUAUUUGCAGAGCUUGGCUGCAAGGGGAAUUUCGUGCCAAGAGCAAGUUAUGGCAGUAGAAGAGAUAUUGCAAUCUCUGAUGAAGAAUGCUUCAAGUGAGGUGUCCCAACAACAUUGUCACACCGCUGGGUUGCCAGCACGAAUUAAAGAAGCCAGAGACAGAAUAGAGGCUGUCAUGAGUGACAUGAACAACAUCCUGCCCAAAUCUGAGAAGAAACCCUCACAAAAGGAAGCUUUAUUUAAUUUUGAAGAAUCUCAGAAGGAUAUUGAGGUUUCCAUUUCAAAAGCUGUGGAACUUGUUAGUCAAAAAUUAAGUCAUGAAGUGCAUAUUUCAAGAUAUGAGGAAGCUUUUAAUGCUCUGGACAAUAAAGUUCUUGACAAUUUUUUUAAAGCAGUUGAACAACUGAAAAAUAUUUCAUCUGAUCAGGAAAAGCUGGUAGUAGAAGAAAAGAGUGAAGAUAUUCGUAAAAGAUGGGAGGCCGUUCAUAAUGAAAUUAUAUCCUGCAUCCAGCUCCUAUUAGAAAGGGAAAAAAAGAAAUUUAACACAACUUUAAAAAAAAUCAAUAAGCAAUUAGGGAAAGAAAAGAAACUCCUGAAUAUGAAUAAAACCAAAGGGCUCAUCAAGGAACAUGAGGCCUUUUUUUCACAUGAAGGCAGCCUGAAAGAACUUAGCAAGUCACUAGAGGAUCUUAAAAUAUUGGGAAAACUAGCAGAAGAAACUGUCCCAGACCUACAAACAUUUGCUGCAGACUCUGAACAAAAGCUAGAAAAGCUUCACCAAACCGUGGCAGAUACUUACACAGCCUUGCUGUCUCAUGCUGGAAGAAGACAGCCAUCCAAAAAAGAGAGCUCCAUUGUUGCUUCUGAGAAUGGAGAAAAGCCCAGUUCUACCCAACAAAUUGAUUUCCUUUCAGUACAGGAGACAUCAAGACCCUCUGAAAAUACGGCUUUGGAAACAGAUAUGAAGCAUCACAAUGGAGAAAGCUGUGAGAAGAUGUUUGAGGAAGGCAGUGAUUCGCCCACACCAGCUUUAUUAGAGAGCUAUAACACACAAAGAAGGAACCUGGAGGAACUUUUACAAGUAAGCAGAGAUAAAGUAGCAUCUGGCUUUACUGAUGAAAUAAAAGGCACUUCAUGCCUUCAAAAUAAAUUGCUUGAAUUACAGAUGGUAGAGAAUGAUAUCAAUUCUGGUUGGGCACAAUUGGGAAACAUCUCAUCUAGCUUAGAAAACCUUGUGGAUGAAGUGAAGCAAGCUGCUAUUUCUGAGACAAGAGGCAAACUAGAAGGAGAAUGGAAAGAACUUCAGGAUAUUAUAAGUACCAGAACUAAUUCUUUAAGGACUGCCUUGGAAAUUGUUUUACCAAUAGAAAAUGAGUCCAUUCUUCUAUGUGAGUUAGAUCAACGGCUGAACAAAAAGGGAAUCCAGCAGUUUAAUCUGGUGAACAGUGAUCUUGCUUACAGAGAACUAAAGGAGCUACAGAGAUCCAUAUUAAAUCAGAUUGAAGUGUGCAAACAAUUGGAACACCUAGAUAGUUCAGCAAGAGAUGAAUUUAAUCCAAUAGAUCUGCAAGCUGCAAGUAAAAUUAUGUUUUAUUAUCAAAACCAGCUUGAGAAAAUGAGCCGAAAAAUGCAAAUCCGAGAGACAGUUCUUAAAGAUCUGGAAGCUUUUAUGGCCUCGUUGAGGAAAAUUAAGUCUUCUGUCAAACAUCUCAUAGAUCCCUUAGGCCAACCUGAAACACAAGGAAAAACAUGGAGAGAGGCUGCACAAGAACUUUCUCAUAUGGCAAAAGAGGCUCAGUGUUUGGAUGAACGCUUGAAAACAGUUGAUAUCUGCUUGGAAGAUGCUGAGUCUGGGAGAAAUACUAGCUGUGAAAAGCUUGUUCAAACUUUAUCUGAAGAGCUAAAUGUGACUGGUGAUCACUCAAGUGAACAGAUGCUUAUGGAGGGAAAUGAUUUAUACAAGGUUUUUUCCACCAGAAAUGAGGAGCUCCUUAAAAACAUUCAGGAUCUACGUGAUAGAAUUAACAAAAUAGGUUUGAAGGAUCCAACAGUUCCAGCUAUUCAACAGAGGAUAAAGUCAUUAGUGGAAUUGGAAAAGGAAUUAGAUUGUUCUGCUGUUGAAAUGAAAUCUAUGCGAGAAAUUGCUAAUAAGCUCCUGCAGAUGAAAGAGGAAAAAGCAGAAGAAUCAAAUGAGCAAUGUAGAGUUACAGAGAGAUCGUGGGAGGAUACAAAACUCUUGCUUGCUGAAUGCCAGGAGCAGUGUGCGAGGGCUCUGGAGCUCCUGAAGCAGUAUCAAAGCUGCAAAAGCAGUCUAACCAGCAUCAUCCAUAAACAGGAGAUUGUGCUUUCACAGCAAAAUUCGUACAUGGGGAAGGACAAUUUGAACAGACUGAUAGCAAAGAUUGAAGAGGCAAAAGAGGAAUUUAAUGAUCGCGCUGAAGAUGUAGACAAAAUAAAUCAGAUCUGCAAAAACCUUCAAUUCCAGCUCAAUAAAAUGAGAAGCUUUGAGGAGCCUCCGUUUGAGAAUGAGGCUAACAUCAUUGUGGACAGAUGGCUGGAUAUCAAUGAAAAAACUGAAAACUAUUGUGAUAAUUUGGGAAGAGCUCAGGCUUUGUGGGACAAACUUCUUGGUUUAUCUGGCACAAUUGAUGCAUGGGCAAAUGCAGAACUUAAGAACACGGAAGGCCGCUGUCUGACCGAUGAGGACCUUACACAACUGAAGGCAUGCUUAUGUGUCCAGGAGCAGAAACUCCAGAAAUUUGACAACACAGUGGCUGAGAUAGAAGAACUUCUAAAUAGCAAUGAACCUCCACUGGAGCUCCAGGUUAUCAGAUCAUCUAUUGUGCAAAAAAUGGAGUUAAUAAAAGGCCUUUUGACAACGAAGCGGCGUACCAGUGAACUCAGUGUGAAUACAGCAGAGCUAAAAGGAGAUCUUGAUCUGGCCAAGACACAGAUUGGAAUGACUGAAUCGCUUUUAAAAGCUUUAUCUCCUUCUGACACCUUAGAGAUCUUUACUAAAUUGGAGGAGAUACAUCAGAAAAUUCUGCAACAAAAACAUCACGUGACGUUACUCCAAGAAGAGACGGAUUGUCCCGAUGUGGAUGAAUUAAAUAAGCAGCUUAAAUGUGUCACCGAUUUGUUUAAUAAGAAAAAACACGUGUUUCAGGACCACUUCAUUGGUGUUUUGAAUCGUCAGUGCAAGAAUUUUAAUGAUUGGUUCAGCAGCACUCAGCUGUCUUUGAAGGACUGCUUUGACCCCUCAGAAACAAAACAGAUGCUGGAAGAAAAACUGCAGAAACUAAAGCACUUCUUCACUUCUGAAGGCAAAGAUGGAGAUAUCCAAGAGGUUAAGACUCUGCUGAAUAAAGUGAAGCAUUACUUGCCCAAAGCAAGCAUUAACCAACUUAGCAGCCGUGUGAGAGAUCAAGAAGCAGAGCUACAAAGGCUGAUAUCUAAGUGUCAGAAACGGGAAAAGGAACUUGGUACUUGUCUCCAGCAGCUCAAUAGCCUUCAAGAAAGCAGCACUGUCUUAGAAAAAUGGCUCACCACUCAAGAAGAAAAACUGCAUGAGAUCAAAAAAGAUAAGACAAAACUUGAAAACCUGUAUAAAACAUUAUUAAUGCAGAGAGAACCAUUUGAUUCCUUGGCUCAGCUAGCAAAUUCCUUGAGGGAGACUGGGCUGACAGAAGAUGAAAUCAUUUCAGAAACCAGUGAUCUCGUUAGUAGAUAUCAAACGCUGACGACAAAUGUAAGUGAGAUGGCAGGAAAUACUCAGGGACUUGCAGUGGAUGAACAUUUCAAAGAACUUGCCCAGGAUAUGUCUAGUUGGAUCAGAAAACUUGAGAAGGCUAUUAAUAAUCUGAGCUCACAGGAAAGUGAGUUGCCACCAGACAGAAGGAUUAAUCAGAUAAAGGAAAUCAUGGCUCUCAAAGAUGCAGGAGAUGCCAAAAUACAGAACAUAGUGCCUGUAGGAGAAAUGUUAAUAAGAAAUGACAAAAUUAAGGAGCCAGAGAUUCAGCAGACUCUUUCUGACCUCCAGAACCAGUGGGAAAAGACCUGUCAGUUAGCCACUGCAUACAGAAGCCCUCAAGAGCAACUUCUGUUCAACAGGGAACAGUAUGAGCAAAGCAAAGAAGAUCUGAGACUGGCUCUAAUUGAACUGAAGAAACAGCAACAGGAGAUGGAUUUUGCCCUUCAGCCUGGUUUGCUGGAGAAGCAAGCUCAGUUGGCAAGUUACACCAAACUCUUGCAGAAAGCAGAAGAUCUAACUUCUCAGUUUAAUGAAUUAGAAAGCCAAGAUCACGUACAGAGCUUUGCUGAGAAUCCCUGCUUCACAGAGGAAUCGUGGUUGGAAUUAAAACACCAGCAUGAAAAUCUGCUCAGCCAGCUACAGGCUGCAGUGGAGACCUUGGAAAGACAUGUUCAAGAGCACCAGCAGUUUCAGGACAUGGUGACAGGCUUGAACACAGAGCUAAAAACUGUUUCCGAAAAGCUUGCUGAUGGUGUGAGUCCAACAGUGGAACAACCAUCCACUGAGCAAAAAGAAUUGAAAUCACAGGAACAACAAGCACCUCUUUGUCAAUUUGAAGAUAUGUUAAAGAAGAUUUUGGUUUUAGCAGAAACUGUUAAACAAAACACUUCUUCACCAGGACAGAAGUUUAUUGAGGAUGAAAUUGAAACACUUCAGAGUGAACAUAGGAGUUUUGAAGAAAAACUUGAAAAUGUCAAGCAAAAGAAAGAAAAUAUUUUCAGUGAAGCCCUUGAGUUAAAAGAUGAUCUCACGGAUGGAGUACAGAUGGAGAAUAAGCUGAAGAGGGAGAUGCAGAUCAUUUCAGAUACUCCUAUUGCUGCAGAAGAGGGCACCACAACAGCAGAGUUAAGGGAGUGUUUGGAAAUGCCUACUGGUCAAGUUGUAAUUGGGAGUGUAUCGGAGAAAGAGAAGCAAAAUGGUUCUCUUUUGGAAGAAAGCAGGAUGUUGUCAGACAGCCCAUUACAAAGUAUCCAUCAAGGAAAGGACAGAUACAGCCAAACUGCUCAGGAGGAAGCUGAUAAAGAGAGCCUGGCUAUGGAUAGAUGUGAUGGAGUCCAAGAGAACCUUCUGGACAGAGCAGUUCUGGAAAGGCAUCAGGAUGACACUGGUAUUGGAAGUGAUGAAAUAAGAAGGGAAACAAGUCCAGUGAAGCAAAAGGAGAAACCUGCUGAUGUCAAGAAUCAAUCCUACACAGAAGAUGAGGAGCAGGUUCAACAGAGCGUGUGCUUGAAGAGUCGAGUCCUGACACCUGUAACAGCUGAGACAAAUGGUCUGGAAUCUGACCCCUCAGUCUCUACCCAUGAGAAGGAAGGUGCAGCAGGGGUUGAUGAGAAGGAACUAUUUCCUGGAGUGCAAGUAAACACUGAGUAUUUUGAGGAGGAACAAAAGGUCAAUGAGCUGAAAAAUGAAGUGGCUGAGCUGGAUAUUGUGCUUAUAAAUGAGCAACUGAAAGAGCUGGAGAAUUUACAAACUGAGCUGGAAACGUGGAAAGCAAAAUCUUUGUGUCUGAGUCAGGAAACGUUUCCUGAUGCAACACGAUCAAACGGAGCAGAGCUGCAAACCCCAGAGCCUGUGGUGCCUUGCUGGGACAGGCUGCUUCAAGAACUGGAUGCUGUUAAGGCAGUAAAGCAACAACAGUCCUGUUUGGUUAAUGAGUACCAGAAAAAUCUUUCUGCUGCUCAGUCUUCAAUGAAAAAUUUGGCAACAGAAAAAGAUAACAUAAAAAUGGGUCCUAUGAAUAACGCAGUUCUACUGGAGAAAAUUAAGGCAUGUGUACAGUCAUUACACAAAGAAAGAGAUGUUUUAAACCAGCUGAAAACUCAACAAGAACUUUUGUCUCAGCAUUUAACGUGCAUGGACAAAGUGUUAACUGCAAGCCAAAUGAGGCAACUGGAGCAGUGGUGGCAGCACAUGGAACAGGCAGUGCAGAAGAAGCAUGAUCAGGUGUUGGCAGAAAUCAAUGAGUUUAACACGCUUAUGGAUAAAGCACAGGAUAUUCAGAGAUUGAUACAAGAGCAGUAUUUACAAACAGAGUUGUGUUCCUCAGCUGGAGAAAAAGCCAAAUGCCCCAUAAUUUGGACUGCAGAGUUACAGAAUAUUAAACAUGGUCUUUCCCUGUUAAAAAGAAAGAUAGAACUGCAGAUGCAAAGAAUUUGGAGCGAUGAAGAAAAGAUAGCUCUGGAGAGCUGUAUACAGGAUUUACAGAGCAAACUGGAAGCUUUAUCAGAGCAACACACUCCUCAAGAUGAUGUUCGGAUCACUGGUCCUGUUGUGAAGAAACAAGACAUAAUGAAGAAGCUGAAAGAAAAUAUUUCAUGGGUCAAAGAUUCGCUGUCCUCUCUUGAUCAGAAAGCAGCACUUUUCCCCUGCGAUGUUAAAUCUCAGAUCAGAAAUUGUGAGCUUAUGAGGAAUGAAGUUCUAGAUAGAGAGCCUGUGAUUGAAACACUGGGUAAUGAGCUCCAGCACAUCCUUCCCAACUUGAAGCCAGAGGAGAUCUCUGAUAUGACUUUCCUCCUACAAGCAUUACAGAAUUCAUACAAGGCUCUUGUUUUAAAAUCUGUUGAAAGAUUACAGCACCUGGAGCUUCAGCUGGAAGAGAGGCAAAGACUUAUUGCAGAAGUAGAGAAAGUUCACUGUCAGCUUCGAAAUGCAGAGACACUUGGCAAGCCUGAUAUGAACCAAACCAGCACUUGCUCAGAAUUAAUCAGUCAACAGGACAUUUUAAAGGAGAUUUUAAAGGACAUACAAGAGAUUGAAGGGCUUAUCUCAUCCCAUUGUGAAGAGAGUCAGGUCACAGCUGGGGAGCUGAGUCUAUCCGAACAAUUAUUUUUGAUUGACCAAUUAAGAAGUCUGAAAAAUAGAGCAAGGAAGACACAGAGGCAAAUUCAGAGUAAAUGUCAUGAAGUGGGAAAAAAGAUAGCAGUCUACAGAGAGUUUGCAGAAGGAAUGACUUCGUUGAAACAAGAGCUUAGUGAUCUGCAGUGUAGUGAAUUGAAACUGGAAGAAGAACUGACAGGGGCCACACAAGAAAUAAAGAAUAAAUGCAAAGCUCUUGAAGAAAAAGUAUUAUCCUUACAGUCUAAUUUGUCACAAAUAAUGAAGUUCAAAGAAAUUUUUGAAUGCAUAGGUCUAAAUUGGGAUUCAUUACAGCUGGAUGAAUUGCAUGAAUUGCAAACUCAAUUUUUUAAAAUUAGAAAUAAAAUUAAAGGGAAGAUAACACAUUUUGGUAAUGUUAUUAGGGAAUGUGAUAAGUUUCAUGCACUGCUAAAUGAAAUCCAGACUAUGACAUCUGCUGCAAGAAAAGAAGCAAAUAUAUUAAAUGAUAGAUCUAAUUCUUCUCCUGCUGAGAAUCUUAUAUCUGCACAGAUUCUGCUUCAGACAAUUCAACAGAUUUUGUGCUUAAUCCAGGAGGUAGAAAAUCAAAUAAACAAAAAUGAGGUUUUACACACGCUAUUCAAAGAAUCAAAGAGGCAAGAAAUAAAGAGCCUGGAGACAGAUGUUGAGGAAUUGAGUCUGUUUCUUCAAAACUUGGUCUCUAGUCUCCAAUAUGUAAACAAGGAAGAUAUCCAGAAUGUGGCAGAGCAUCUAUCCGAUGCCAUAAGGCAUGUUCAGUUAGAGCUCCAGCAGCCAAUAGCAGUAGACUUGAAAAUGAUGCAGUAUGAAAAGAUGCGAUGGGAAUCAAUUCAGAAUGUGAUGUCAGCAGAGUUUUCUGCCAUUAAAUGUAUAAUGGAAAAAGAGAGGGAAAGUCAAGAAGAAAAAUCUCUUGCUGCUGGUUUAGGAACAAAAUUAAGAGCGCUGGCAGAUCAUGAAAUACAACUGAAGACAGACAUUGCUGCCCGUGUUUCUGCUCUGGAGGAGGCACGUAAGGCUGGUGAGCUUUACACCAAGGCUGUUGAGAGGGCUGCCAAGUUCCUUGAGGACUGUGAAGCUGAAGUUCGUUCUGCUGCAGCAGAGCUCAGCAGUUCAGAGGACACCUAUCAAACUCCACAGUGGAAACAAGAAGAGUUCGACUCUGCAAAGGCUGACAUAGAGCAGUUGUAUUCCAAGCUGAAAAACCUGGUGAAACCAGAAGACAAAAUAUGUCUAGAAAAUACUUUAAGAGAACUAGUCAAUAAAAGUUUGGCAUUAAAAGAGAAGAUUCAGAGAAACGAGGCCGACAAACAGAGAUAUUUGGAAAAAUACAAAAGCUAUUCCAAAUGCAAAGAUAAAGUGUGUGAUGAUCUUAACAAUCUGGGAAAGAUGCUUGGGAAGUCUUUAUCCCAAACACCAAUGUCUUAUAAGGAAGCUUUGGAGAACUUACAAGAAUGCAAGAUUUUAGUCUCCAACAUUGACUCUGCUGAAGAUGAUCUUGUGAAGCUAAGGCAGGUCUCAGGAGAGCUGAUGAGAUUACGCAAGGGAAGUGACAGGGCCCUGGGCAGGAUUGUAACAGCACUGUGGGAAAAUUGGCUGGGUUUGCUUGAGGCAGCAAAAGAGCUGGAAAUAAACUGUGAAGAACUAAAACAAGAAUGGAAGUUCAUCAACGAGGAGCUGGAACGAGAAGCAAUAAUUCUUGAUAAGCUCCAGGAAGAGCAGCCAGAAAGUCUUAAAGAAAAGGAAAAAGCCACCAGAGAGGAACUGGUAGAAUUACUGGAUUCUGUGUAUGCAUUUGAGGAGAACAUCAGCAGGCAGCAGCUCCUCUUGCUCUUACUUCUUCACCGAAUAAGGAACAUCCUGAAUACAUCUGAAAACAUGGAGGCAGAGACUGCCCUUCCUGCCUUAUGUGAGAUAAAGACAAUGCAAGACCGCUGUAAAAAGUUGUAUGAAAAGACUCAAGACCAUAAGAAUUUGAUACAGUCUGAGAUUCAAGAGAGGAACAAGAUCACCGAAGAAAUAAAUGCUGUGAAAAAUGCAUUACAGAAUGCUCUAUCUGUGCUCUCCCAAGAUGCUGUUGCAAAGGCAGCACAGCUAAAGGAAGUUCAGAGUGUGAUUGAUAAAGAAAGUCAAAAUCUUAAGGAUAUCAUGGAGAAACUCCGGAUCAGAUAUUCUGAAAUGUACACAAUAGUUCCUGCAGAAACUGAAGCACAGCUGGAGGACUGCAAGAAAACUUUACAAGACUUGGAAGACAAGAUUAGCUUUGAAAACUUGCAGAGUUCUCCUCAGUAUGUGCUGAAAGGAAAAGCGGAGACUGUUAACAAUGGCCUUCAAGCUAUUGAAAAGAUGCUGGAACAGAAGACUGAAAGUGUUGCAAAAGCCAAAGAAGUUCAGAAGCAAAUCUGGGAUAUGCUGGAUCUUUGGCAUUACAAACUCAAUGAGCUGGAUGCAGAAGUGCAUGACAUAGUAGAGCAGGAUUCCUGCCACGCACAGGAGUUGAUGGAUAUCUUAAUGACCCCCCUUCAGCAUUACCAACAAGUCUCACAACUUGCCGAGCGCAGAACAGCCAUUUUAAACAAGGCUGCCAACAAGAUGGAAGAAUAUGAUGAACUCUUGAAGGACAUGAAAGUUUGGAUAGAAAACACCAACAGCUUGCUAAGAGCAGGUGUUCAGAAUGACUCCGCAAAAAGACUACACAAGUACACUGAUGGCCUUCAGAUGGCUUUGGAAGACUCAGAACAAAAGCAAAAUCUCCUGCACAGUGUUUACUUGGAGCUGGAGGAGCUAACGCCUGUCUUUGAAACAGACAGUAUAAUGCAGCAGCUGAAUGAAGCAGAGGAGGAAGUAGCAACGUUACAGCAAGAGAUAGCAGAGAUUCUUCCACAGAUCCAGCAUGUGGCUGAUGAACUGGAUGCCAUUGAAUCUCAUGUAAAAAUGUUUGAGAAGGAUAUUAUGAAAAUGAAGACAAUCUUAUCAUCAGAAGAUCUGUUGGAACUUUCUCCUAAAGACCAACUUAAACAUGGACAGGUUAUACUUGACCAUAUUGGUCCUAUGCAGAAGACCAUUGUUCACAUACAGUCCUAUGAAGAAGACCUUCAGCUGCCAGGGGUGAAAAAACAACCUGUCUCAGUCUUCUUAAGAGCAAGGCAACUUUUGAGAGAAUUGAAAAAAAUAGAAAAAAUUACUAAGGAACAAAAUGAACUGCUGGAGGAAGCUGUGAAGAAAACAGAAGAAUGUGAGCAAGAGAUUGAAAAGCUGAAACAAUUCCUAAAGAAUCACUUGGCUGAAAAAUCACAUGAAUAUCAGCCACGCACUCAGAAGGCUUCUUGUCCAGAGGGAGAAAUGGAAGCUAUAAAAGAAGAAAUCAUCAAGCUAUGCCAAAGAAAGGAAGACAUCCUUACCGGGAUGAAGAAUUCAAUGUCUGAGCUUCACCAGCGCUUACAGGAAGAAGUGCCUGAACCAGGAGAUGAGCCCACAGCCUCUGUGUUUGCACAAACUGACUCCAUAGGGACUGAUGUUUCCGAUGUGCAGCUGAAGAAGAGAGGACUGAUGUCCCUUCUGCCCUGUUUAGAUGAAGAGUCAGAAGAUGCUUUUCACAGCAAGGGAAGUACAGUCAUGGAGAUAGAUGUGAGCUUCUGGCCCUCAUUAAAAUACAAGGAAAAGUGUAAGGAGGACAGUGCAACCUCUUGGUCUUCUGGAACCUUGUCAGAUGGUGGUGCACAGGAUGCUGCUGAGAUAGUACGAUCAUGCAAUAAAGACAAUGAGGAAUCAUCUUUGCAAACUCCACAGAGGACAGAAAGCCCUGGCACAGGUCAUGAAAGUCAGACCGUGAGUGUCACGCCGCCUCCUGUUCCCAACGCCACCCAGGGCUCUCGAGGGAAAGAGGGAGACGCAGAGGAAGCAGUGGAUGCUGGUAGGCCCGAGCCGGAAACAAUCCUCCAGGCGUGCAAGGCCCAGGUCGCUGAGCUGGAACAAUGGCUAGACAAAACUAAGGUGUCCCUGGGCUCAGACCCCCAGACCCCCAAAAUGCAGCAGAUGGUGGAACUGCAGCUUGGUGAUUUCCAGGUGAUGUUAUCAGAGAUUGAACAAAAGGUUCUUAGUUUACUGGAAGAUGGUGGAAACAGUGCAGGCCACCAACAGGAGGCAGAGGAGCUUUCCUUGAAGCUGAAGGAAGCGAAGUGUAAUUUGGAGAAAGUCCAGAUGAUGCUUCAGGAUAAAUACAGUGAAGAGCAGAUUCCCAGCAGGGAGAGGAGUGACCCAGAGUCCCUCAAGAUGUUGCACUCCAAUAGCUCCAGCUUGCCCCAGCUUGGCCUCACUGAACAGCCUUUCCUCCAGCAAAAUGGUUUCCAGCACCCACAGGAUCUGAAAGUAAAAGCAGCAGAGCAGAAGAGCCUCAUUGACUUCAUUGAGUCAUGUGUGGAAAAAAUGCAGCCACAGUUUGAGGAUGGUGUGAAAUCAGAACCCAGCAAUGGGGAAUCUGAUCCAAAAAGCAAGCAGGUUGAUCCCACCUUAGCUCCAAAGGACCAAACGGGUAAUAAAUGGCAGUAUUUACAGCAAGAGCUUUCCUCAAAGAUGAAGUCUCCUCUCUGCCAGCUUGUGGAACCUCAGAUUACAACAAAACUGAACAUGCUGCCCCGGGGCGCGUUCCCAAAUGCAGGAGCCUCAACCGUGGAAGAGCUGAAAACAUACACUGUGCAGCUGGGAGACCUAAGCCAAGAAGCAAACGUGGUGCAUGCACAGGAGAAUGUGGCAGAGGAAGUUUCUUCCAAUUUGGACAAAAAACUAUUUGAGCUACUUCUGGCAAUCAGCCGGUGCUUGGAUAAUAUGGAGGAGAUGUUAAACACCUCAGUCCUCUCCACUGAAGAGGCAGCUGUGCAGCAGGUUCUUUAUGAGACUCUUUCUGUUGAGCUGCAAAAACUUCACGCUGAUCUGAGUGAUAAAAAGGAUGAUCUUUUAAAGUCUAUUACCUGUGCUGGUGGGAGCACAGAUGUGUUCUGUGAGUGCUUUAACAACUUACAAGCAUGGUUGGAACAGACUCAAGCUGCCACUGCUUCAAGGAGCAAUUCAAUGAAAGCUGGGCUGGAUCAUAAUUCCAGUUAUCAGAAUGAAACCAGGCUGCUUUAUGAUCAAUUAACUGAGAAAAAAGCUACUUUGCAACAAUGUUUGAACUCAAUUCGUGGACAUAAUGUUUCUGAGCAGCUUCAGAAAACUGAUGCCUGUGCUUUGGAACUGCAAAACUUUGAAAACCAAGUAGCAAAACUGAGAGGCUAUGGGGAAAGAUUCCAGUUACCUGUCACCUUAAUCCAGGAAGCUUAUAAAUUAGAGGAUGUGUUGGAUGACAUGUGGGGGAUUCUGAAAGCAAAAUAUGUGGAGCUGAAUUCUCCUUCCAUCAGUGAGAGCCAAUAUGAGGACUUACUUUGUGGGUUUGCAGAGCUAGUUGCUAUUGGACAAGAGAAGAUUGCACAAGAUGCAAAGCAGCUGACAAAAAGCAGAGCAGCUCUUCAAUCUCACCUGGAAAAUCACAAGGACUUUUUCCACAACCUCAUGACUCACAUGGCUUUCAUGCAAGCAUUUUCCAAGAAAGUGAAUCCCUCUGUCCUGCAAAAGAGAGAGAAAUUCUGGAGAGGGCUGGUGAAUGAAGUCAGAUUGCUGGAGCAGAAGGCCAGCCAGUAUGGUAUACACUUAGAGAAGUUGUUAAAGGAAUGGACUGAAUUUGAUGAUGAAUGUCUAGCAUUCAAUAAGGAGUUAGAGGCACUUUCUUCUAUGCUGCCAUCUGUGAAUUUGGUUGAAGAAACAGAAGAAAGAUUAAUGGAAAGGAUUGCACUUCUCCAGCAAAUCAAGAGCACUGUUGAUGAGAAGCAUGCCAGGCUGUACCAGAUGGUGAAAGAAGGGAAGAAAUUGCUGACUGCUGUGAGCUGUCCAGAAAUAACAAGUCAGAUCAGGAAGCUGGAAGAGCAAUGGUUGUCCUUAACCAAAAAAGUUGGCAAUGAACUACACAAACUUCAAACAUUACUCAAACUCUUGAUCAGCUACAACAGAGACUCAGAGGAGUUAAGGAAAUGGCUGGAUUCUGCUGAGCAGAGAAUGAAAUUUUGGAAGGAGCAGUCUCUCAACGUGUCACAAGAUCUUCCCACCAUCAGGGAUAACAUCGACAGCUUGUUUACAUUCUCUAAGGAAGUUGAUGACAAAUCUUCCCUGAAGUCUUCUGUGGUGAGCACUGCCAACCAGCUCUUUCAUGUGAAGCAGGCUGAUACUGCAGGACUUAGGUCAUCUUUGGCAAAGUUUGAGCAAAAAUGGGGAGAACUGAUUACACAGCUCCCAGCUAUCCAAGAAAAGUUGCACCAGCUUCAAAUGGAGAAACUUUCUUCGCGGGAAGCUAUUGCUGAACUAAUGACAUGGCUGGACCAUGUGGAACAACAGCAAGGACAUGAAGAACCAAUAAAUGCACAAAGUAGUGUAGUUCAAGUCAGAAGUCUCCUUCAGAAGUACAAGGAAUAUGUGAUGGAAAUGAACUUUAAGCAGUGGAUGGUAGAUUUUGUGAACCAAUCGCUCUUGCAAAUGAGCACUUGUGACGUGGAAAGCAAGCGGUAUGAAAGGACAGAAUUUGCUGAGUGUCUUGGCGAGGUGAACUUGCGGUGGCACAGGCUGCAGGCAUCCCUGAACAGAAAGAUACAAGACCUAGAACACCUUCUGGAAGAUGCUACCGAAAACGAGAACAAAGCACAGACUUUAUGCAACUGGCUGGAAGCACAGAGCGAUCGAAUGAGGUCUUUACAAACCCCAGCAAGUCUAAUCUCUGCGCAGAACACAUUAGAUGAUUGCAAGGUAAAAUAUUGUGACCUAGAAAAUCAGCUUGCAAUUAAGUCCAAAAUGCUGGAUGAGCUGAAGCAGAGUAUGUCUUUGAAUGGUAGUACAGAACAAACCCCUGAGGCGUUGUCUUUCAGAAUAGCCGACCUGUGUGAAAUGAAGGACAGUGUUGUCAGCCAGGUUGCACAGCUGAAAACCUCAAUGCAGUCAAUACUGGAGCAAUGGAAAGUAUAUGAUGACAUUUAUGCGGAAGUCAGCCUGCUGAUGACAAGAUAUUUGUACUGCAUAGACCAGUGCAAGCCCUCUGUGCCAUCACUGGAAGCUUUUCAAAAACAGGUCAAAACUCUCCAGUCUCUUCAGGAUGAGUUGGAGAACAGUGAAGAAAGUUGGGCCAAGCUCCAGGCAGCUGCCAAUAAUCUGAAGAAGAACUGCUCCCCCUCCUUUGCAGAGAUUAUCGAUCAGAAGUGCACAGAGGCACAUACCAGGUGGAGCUCAGUAAAUGAAGACAUCACUGAUCAGCUGCGGACAGCACAAGCAACGCUUCAGCUCUGGGAGCCCUGUGAUAGUUUAUGUACUGAGGCAGCAGUCAAGCUACAGCAGCAUGAAGAGCAGUGCACUCAGCUUUUGGAUGCCCGCAUGCCUGAAGAUAAUAUGAUAGAAACCCUGAAACAGAGGAUACAGGAUGUAAAGAAUUUACAGAAUGGUCUUCAGAACAUAGUGGGAUGCCGUUCCCAAAUUUCUGAGUUGGCUGAUCAGAUAAAACAGCAGGCUGGGACAGCUGCACACGCCGUUCUGUUGGAGAAGCUGCAACCGUUCCAGAGAGCAUCCUAUUUGGAAAAGAUGUUGCAGAGGAAGUUAGAUGAAUUGGAGUUCAAUCUUUUACAACUGGAGGAUUUUAAGAACUGUCUUGAAACUCUGGAGGGUCAUGUGAAGAAUUGCACAGAUGCCUUUGAUAGUCUCCAUCUAGACGGAGAAACAGACAACUCAGAAUUGCUCAUGAAUCACACUCUAGAGCUUGCUGCCCUUUCUCCAAGCAUAGAGAGUUUGAAUGAAGCAAGCAUUAAGCUGCCCCUCAGUGACUUCAUCCUAAAGAAGAUGCAGAGCCUGACUCGGCAAUGGAGUCAGAAGACAGCAACUGCUUUGGAACAUUGCAGUGUGCUUGAGGGAACUCAAACUGAUGAAAAGAAAUUCCUUCAGAAAUGUGAAAACUGGAUGAAAUUCCUAGAAAAAAUGAAAGAGGCCCUGAAGACAAAUGUUCCAGGACGAUUUGAAGAACUGCAAGAGCAACAGAGAGUCUAUGAGAUGCUGCAAACUGAGAUUUCCAUAAAUCAGCAGACAUUUAAUUCUAUCAUAGCAAAAGUUCUACUGUUCCUGGAAUCUGGAGAAGCAGAAAAAAGGACAGAGUUUAUUCCCAAGCUCACGUUGCUGAAAGAGCAGUGGCAGAAUGUUAUCUGGUUGGUUCAGCAGCGGAAGAAAGAUAUCGAUGGACUCGUGAGCCAGUGGCAGCUCUUCAGGGGUUCUCUGCAGAGCCUCAGCAGAUUCCUUGCUGAUACAAACAGCUUCCUCGCAGCCGUCAAGAGCCAGGACUGCUACAGCCUGUACCACCUUAGAAAUCUAAUUCAUGAUUUCAAGAGUAAGGCAGUGAUUCUUCAGAGGUGGCAAGGAAUGUACUCCUCAAUCAUUGAUGUUGGUGAGAAGUUGCGCACUGACUCUGAUCCUGAGACCAGCGCUGUUCUGCAGGAGGAGCUCAGCCAGCUGCAGCAGAGCUGGGGGGACACUCAGGUCCAGCUGGAGAAGAUGAAGACACAGCUCAGCAGCAUCCUGCAGAGCUGGGACAGCUGUGAAAAGCAUACCAAGGAGUUAGAGAGCAGGCUGCGAGAGCUGAAGGAUGAAGUCAAAGAUCCGCUUCCAGUCGAGCAUGAAGAACUCUACAAAUCCAAGGAACACAUUAAGGAGCUGGAGCAGUCACUGGCAGACUGGGCCCACAACAUGAAGGAGCUGCAGGCCAUGAAGGCGGAGCUGGCACACUGCAUCCUCACCGAGGACAUGAUGGUGCUCCAGGAGCAAGUGGAACAUUUGCACAGGCAGUGGGAAGAGCUCUGCUUGCGAGUGUCGCUCCGUAAGCAGGAGAUCGAGGACAGACUCAAUGCCUGGACUGUGUUCAAUGAGAAGAAUAAGGAGCUCUGCUCCUGGUUGGUGCAGAUGGAAAGCAAAGUGCUGCAGACGGCGGAUGUUAGCAUUGAGGACAUGAUAGACAAAUUGCAGAAGGAUUGCAUGGAAGAAAUAAACCUGUUCAGUGAAAAUAAGCUUCACUUGAAACAAAUGGGUGACCAACUAAUCAAGGCCAGCAACAAGAGCCGAGUUGCAGAAAUAGAUGAUAAACUCAACAAAAUCAAUGAUCGCUGGCAGCAUCUCUUUGAUGUCAUUGGAGCACGGGUGAAGAAACUGAAGGAAACAUUUGCUUUUAUACAACUUUUGGACAAAAACAUGAGUAACCUUCGCACCUGGUUGGCCCGGAUUGAGUCAGAACUUUCUAAGCCUGUUGUUUAUGACAUCUGUGAUGACCAAGAAAUCCAGAAGAGACUGGCGGAACAGCAGGAUCUGCAGCGGGACAUAGAACAGCACACAGCUGGAGUGGAGUCUGUCUUUAAUAUUUGUGAAGUCCUGCUGCACGAUUCCGAUGCGUGUGCUAAUGAGACGGAGUGCGACUCCAUCCAGCAGACUAGCAGGAGCUUGGACAGACGGUGGAGAAACAUUUGUGCCAUGUCGAUGGAGAGGCGAAUGAAAAUUGAGGAAACCUGGCGCCUAUGGCAGAGGUUUUUGGAUGACUAUUCUCGCUUUGAAGAUUGGCUAAAAUCAGCUGAAAGGACAGCAGCUAGCCCCAACUCUUCAGAGGUUUUGUAUACGCAUGCGAAAGAGGAGCUGAAGAAGUUUGAGGCCUUCCAGCGUCAAAUCCAUGAGCGGCUCACUCAGUUGGAGCUGAUCAAUAAGCAGUACAGGCGCCUUGCCCGCGAGAACCGCACGGACUCCGCCAGCAAGCUGAAGCAGAUGGUGCAUGAAGGCAACCAGCGCUGGGACAACCUCCAGAAAAGAGUGGCUGCCAUUCUGAGGAGACUCAAGCAUUUCACCAAUCGCAGAGAUGAGUUUGAGGCAACGAGGGAAAACAUCCUUGUUUGGCUCACAGAAAUGGACCUCCAGCUGACAAAUGUGGAGCACUUCUCAAAAAGUAACUUUGAUGACAAAAUGCGCCAGUUAAAUGGUUUUCAGCAGGAAAUAACACUGCACACCAAUAAGAUUGAUCAGCUAAUCGUUUUUGGGGAACAGUUAAUUCAGAAGAGCGAGCCUUUGGAUGCUAUCCUGAUCGAAGAUGAAUUGGAAGAACUUCACAGAUACUGCCAGGAGGUGUUUGGGCGAGUUGCCCGCUUCCAUCAAAGGCUGACUUCAAGACAUCCCGGAUUAGAUGAUGAAAAAGAGACCUCUGAAAAUGAAACAGAUCCAGAAGACUCCAGGGAAAUCCAGAACGAUCCCUGGCAUAAGAAGGCCAUCAGUGAGGGGCCUUCUUCCCCACAGUCCCUUUGCCACCUUAUGCCACCUACUCAAGGUCAUGAAAGAUCAGGCUGUGAGACUCCUGUCAGUGUUGACUCCAUCCCACUUGAGUGGGAUCACACAGGUGAUGUGGGGGGCUCUUCGUCUCACGAGGAUGAAGAAGAAGCGACGUACUACAGUGCUUUGUCAGAUGUAGAAAUCACUGAAAAUCCUGAGGCAUAUCUUAAAAUGACCACAAAAACUUUGAAAGCAUCUUCUGGAAAGGCUGUUUCAGAAGCUCAUCCCUGGCAUUCUCCCGAGAGCCCUGUCUGCAGGAAACACCGAUACAACCAGGCAGAGAUUGUUGGUGAUGUGCUGUCUGGUCCAGAGACGAGCACCCCCUAUAAGCCAGGCUAUGUGAAGCAGCUCAGCUCUGCAAGCAGCAGCAGCGUCAACAAGGAGAACAGUACAUCUACUAACAUGAGUGAUGAAGAACCCCAGGAUGACCAAGAGCUUGUGACUAUGGCAGCUGCAGAGAAGCAGUCAGGCAUUAUUGAUAGGUGGGAGCUCAUCCAAGCUCAAGACCUCAGAAAUAAACUUAGGAUAAAGCAGCACUUGCAGCAGUGGCAGCAGGUGAACUCUGAUCUCAGCGAUGUCUCUGCUUGGCUUGAUAAAACUGAGGAGGAGCUGGAAGAACUGCAAAAAGCAAAACCUCCAACUAGCAUGCAGGCGAUGGAACAAAGGGUCAAGAAAUUGAAAGACACACUGAAAGCGUUUGAUAACUACAAGGCCGUGGUGCUUUCAGUUAACCUGAGCAGCAAGCAGUUCCAGAAAGCGGAUAGCACAGAGUUCAAGGAGCUUCAGAACAGGCUUCGGAAGGUGAACUUGCGUUGGGAGAAAGCCACUCACUCAUUGGACAACUGGAGGAAGGGUUUACGGCAAGCCCUGCUGCACUGCCAGGACUUCCAUGAUCAGAGCCAAAAACUAAUCCUGUGGUUAGCAAGUGCCGAAGGCCGAAGGAAUGAGGCACAAAUCACAGAUCCAAAUGCUGACCCACAUACAGUACUGGAAAGCCAGAAAGAGUUAUUGCAACUGGAGAAAGAGCUGCUGGAACAGCAGCUUAAAGUAAACUGUCUUCAAGAACUCUCUGCUUACCUGCUGCUUAAAUCUGAUGGCGAAGAUUACAUUGAAGCUGAUGAGAAGGUCCAUGUGAUUGGAAAGAAACUGAAACAGCUUCUUGAGCAAGUUUCACAUGACUUGAAAUCAGUACAAGGAUGUCUGGAUAGCAGAGUAUUCCUGCCAGUUCCAGAUGACUUGGACUCAGAAGUCUAUCAUCCAGUUGCAGUGAAAUCCAGCCCUCCUGUAAAGAAGGCUAGUAUUUCUUUAUGUAUUUGUUUAUUUAGAAUACUUCACUGUCAGCAUAUGUGUGUGUGUGUGAUUAGCUUGAAGGUUCCUCAGAUGAAGCCAUUUUACCUUUUAGAAGUGUAUACCUUAUUACAGAACUUACAGCAGGACUGAAAGCCUACCACAGCCUUCUUUUAAGAAAGAAAUUCCUUGCUAUAGUUUAUGAAUUCUGGUUAAUAGAUACUAUUUCUCUCAACAGAUCACAAUAAGGAGAACUUCAGAUGGCAGAAAAAACAGCAACACAAGAGCUGAAAGCCACGCACAACCGACUCAUGUGGUCCCUCGGUCCCCCUCCUUCUUUUACCGUGUGUUACGAGCAGCUUUACCCCUCCAGUUGUUCUUUCUACUGCUUCUUCUCCUGGCGUGCAUGAUUCCAUCUUCUGAGGAAGACUACAGCUGCACCCAGGCAAACAACUUUGCCCGUUCUUUCUAUCCGAUGCUGCGAUACACCAACGGGCCUCCACCGACAUAGGAAGAAGCCCAGGGAUCUCCAUUAUACCAAAACACACUCUUUGCGGUGCUUAUUUUUAUGCUGCUGGCAUCAGUGAAAUGGUGAUACCACGUAGUUAAAUACAGAAACCUGUAUGCUGUGUUAGUUCCCUAAACAGGCCACUACAGCCCCCUCCCAUCCUCCACGCCGCUGCCCAAGCCUGUGCUGCAGCUCAAUAAAGCCUCACAUUUUAGCAUUCUCCGGUGGAUGGGAAUGUGUUAAAUUUCACAUCUCAAAGUGUAUAUCUUGAGAAAGUUUCAGCAUUUUUGUAUGGAAAAUGAACUUUUUCUAUAGAUUUUUAAACCUGAAGCAACACACUUUAUACUUGGAUGCAAUAGAACACUAUUUUGUAGCUGCAGUGCACUUAAGCUUGCAAGGUGAUCGAAUACUGAGUUAUUAGAUGCAGAAACUUCUUCACAGUAAUCUCAAACGCAGCAGUUGGUCUCGGGUUGGCGCGAUGAACAAGCAGUUGAAGAGGCACUCUGCCUAAACCGAUUACUGCACACACUUCACAUGACUGUAUCUUUUGGUACUGUGAUCACUGGGUGGAAAUAGAAAUCUGCAUCUUUCCGAAUCUUUGUUACUGUGUUUUAUUCAUCUGACACAUUCAAUAAAAGGAUGCACAUUUGUUUUGUUUUACAUGUAAUUUUCUAGUGGUUAGGACUGCUGUGUUGUCUUUUUGUACCACUUUUGAAAUACAGAAUUGUUACAGUGCAUGGAAAUGCUUUAUAAAUGCACAGGUUUUCUAGAUGAACACAAUUAUGUAGACUGUCCCUGAUGUAUGCAAAUACUGUAAUGACUUUUUUAAUGAAAGUUGUUUUUUUUUUUUCAGAUUUUAACCUGCUGAAUAGUGUACAGGAUCGGGGGAGAGAAUUGUGCAUUUUCUUUUUAUAUAUAAACUCGCUGUAAGAUUCUCCACCUUAAAUUGAAAUUGACAGUGUAGGCAAUGGCUUGAGAAACAUUGUGUACAGUCAGCUUCACCAUUGCUCCUCGGUUGUACAGUUUGAGUCCUCAUUAAAAUUCUGCCACUGUC